rnacentral:lncRNA from 1 species
GGCUCAGUGCACAGUGUUUACCGCUUCCCUCGGACCCGCUUUUGAUUUUACGGUCAGAGCUGGGUUCAAACAGCAGCUGUCUGGCAAAGACUGGGCUCCAGCUUCUAGCAGCCUCCCCCAACCCCCACCUCCAGCGUCCUUGGGGCUUUGUCUGGGAAGCUUUGGGAGCAGACUUUUCAGCACCCACCUCCCAUACCCACUAGUGUGUGCCACCUCAGCCAUCCAAAGCAGCGGGGAGAAGGGACAGCACAUGGCUCCGAGCCUAGUAUGGGACAGGCAUGGAAUAAAGACUCCACUGGGAAAGAGGCAGCUUGAUGCCCCAAGAAGCUGUGUUUAUUAAAUUAUGGUUAAUGAAUACUACAGAGAAUAUAAACUAUAAACGUACAACAGAAAAUGGGUAGGUACCAUGGGAUAAUGGAGAAUUUGGGAAGGUUAGAUUAAAAAUUAACUCAACAAUCUUGGGUUGACCUUAGUCCUUCCAAAUUUUGCCUUUGACUGACUUUCACCCUGUCCUGUCUUAUCAACCCUUCACUUAGUCUUUCUUUUUAGAGCUCUUCUAGUAGGUGACACCUAUCGAUGACAUAAAGAGAGAAAAUGAGUAUUGAGAGUUCAGCAGUAGAUUAUGGAGGGGAUUCAAUAAACAAUCAGAUGCAUUUCUAUGGAUGUUAGCAACCUUCUCACCAACAACAAUGCCUGUCUUGGUCUUUGGUUCUAGGGGUUGCAAACAUUACUUAACAAUUCUUCAAUGCAUUUUAAUAUCAUUGGUAACGUGUAUGUACAUGUUCAAAAUUUUUUUGUGUUGAUACCUUUCUACUGUUAAAAGAGGUAGGGGGAGGCAGGAGAAAUUAAAUUGCAGCAUGCUAUAUU